AUGGCACUCUCAGGGGCUUGUUCUCAUUCCCCCACUCCCCACCACCACUUGCAUUGCAUCAUUCUUGAUUUCUUUGAAGGAAUUCCUUUUCGUUUCGUCGUGCGCAAACCAAACAAACCACUUUAUUGGAAUCAUCUGAGAAGAAGAUAUACUGAGCUUCGUAAUGUAUUUGUUGAGGGAAAGGUUGUAAGGAAGAAAAAAAUUUGA